GGAGAAGUACUCAAGAGGCCGAAGAGGGCGGUUUGCUAAACCGUUAGGUCGGAUAUAACCGGCGCCAGGGUUCGAAUCCCUGCUUCUCCGCCA
rnacentral:tRNA from 1 species